rnacentral:lncRNA from 1 species
GGAGAGCAAUAUGCCAUCUUGUGAACUAAAAGUGCCCCCUGACCGACACCAAAAAUUAAAGACAAAUGUUCUGCAUAUCAACUGCAAUGCAAAUCAUUCUGCUAUCCUCUGGAGUUUGUAAAGAAGAUAAUUCUUACUUCAUUUGCUAUAGGGAGGUGCAUCUUUCUGGCAUCUUCCACAGUACUGUGCUGUCCUGGACUCUGUCCAGAGUCAACAGCUGAGCAGCAUGAUGUAGCCUAUGAUUCAAAGGCCCAGGGCAGAAGGGAAAUAAUUCCCCAAUGCCACUUUGUACUAUCUUGCUUUUUACAUAAAUAAAUCAACAUCUU